rnacentral:miRNA from 1 species
GGGGAGCCAGGAAGUAUUGAUGU